AAGGAUAAAAAAAAAGAAGCUGCUAACUAUCUUUAAAGCGGUUAAAAUCCGUUUUCUCCUUA
rnacentral:tRNA from 1 species